GAGAUAAAGUCCGGGCUCCUUCGGAAAAAAUGCCGGAUAACGACCGGGCACAAACUGGCAGCUGUAAUUUUUUUUACAUAGCCCAGAAUGUGACAGAUAGUGCAACAGAAAAUAUACCGCCUGUUUUCAGGUAAGGGUGAAAAGGUAGGGUAAGAGCCUACCGCAUAGCUGGUAACAGAUAUGGCUUGAAAACCUCAUUUGGAGCAAGAUUAAGCAGCAGUUAUGUUGUUCCGAGCAAUACUGCGGGUAAAUCGCUGGAAUCAGAUGGUAACAUUUGAUGCGGAUAGAUGGUUAUUGCCUUUUGGCAGACAGAACCCGGCUUAUUGUCCCAUCU
rnacentral:RNase_P_RNA from 1 species